rnacentral:lncRNA from 1 species
AAGCAGACAUCUGUUCUCUUCACCAGGACCCUCAAAGACUCGUCAGACUGGACCACGGCCUCUGGAGUACUUCCCAGGAAGCUUCUUGCUUGGAAGAUUCGCAGUUUCUUCCCAAGCAUCGCUCUCAACUUGGCUAAACACCUUGAAACAGUUCCAGCAAGACGUGUCUCCCUCAGAUCUCAGGGCAGAUGGAGUUGGAAGUCAUCAGGAUGGAGGACAGAACUGAAGGAGGUCUUUAUUGUCCAGAGAUUUAUAGUAGAAAGAUCAUUUAAAUAACUUUGUACAGAGCAACACUACAUACCUGUAAAUAGUGGAAAAACUUAAAAGGAAA